GCUGGGAUAGCUCAGUUGGUAGAGCAGCUGACUUGUAAUCAGCAGGUCGAGAGUUCAAGUCUCUUUCCCAGCUCCA
rnacentral:tRNA from 1 species